UAAUGCUGGGAUGUGAUGGGGAGCGAAAUUUAGUAGCGAAGUAGCUGAUUUCACACUGUCAAGAAAAGUCUCUAUCGAGGUUAAAGGUACCCGUACCGCAAACCGACACAGGUGGGUGAGGAGAGUAUCCUAAGGCCAGCGAGAGAACUGUUGUUAAGGAACUCGGCAAAAUGACCCCGUAACUUAGGGAUAAGGGGUGCCACCAUCAGGUGGCCGCAGAGAAUAGGCCCAAGCGACUGUUUACCAAAAACAUAGGUUUCUGCUAAGUCGCAAGACGAUGUAUAGGAGCUGACGCCUGCCCGGUGCUGGAAGGUUAAGGGGAUCUGUUAGAGCAAUCGAAGCAGUGAACUUAAGCCCCAGUAAACGGCGGCCGUAACUAUAACGGUCCUAAGGUAGCGAAAUUCCUUGUCGGGUAAGUUCCGACCCGCACGAAAGGCGUAACGAUUUGGGCACUGUCUCAACAACAGACUCGGUGAAAUUGUAAUUCCGGUGAAGAUGCCGGAUACCUGCGACAGGACGGAAAGACCCCAUGGAGCUUUACUGUAGCUUGACAUUGGGUCUUGGUACUACAUGUACAGGAUAGGUGGGAGGCUUUGAAACCAGGACGCCAGUUUUGGCGGAGCCAUCCUUGGGAUACCACCCUUGUA
rnacentral:rRNA from 1 species